rnacentral:misc_RNA from 1 species
CAACCCUCAAGCCUGGCUUGGUGUUGGGGCAUUGCCUUCCCUCGGGAGGGCAAGCCCUGAAAUUCAGUGGCGAGCUCGCCAGGACUCCGAGCGUAGUAGUAAAACCCUCGCUUUGGACUGUUCUGGCGCGGCCCUGCCGUAAAACCCCCAACUCUGAAA